AAUGAACGCUGGCGGCAGGCCUAAAACAUGCAAGUCGAACGCCUGUAGCAAUACAGGAGUGGCGCACGGGUGAGUAACACGUGGGAAUAUGCCUUUUGGUACGGAACAACGUCUGGAAACGGACGCUAAUACCGUAUGGUCCCUUCGGGGUAAAGAUUUAUCGCCAAAAGAUUAGCCCGCGCUGGAUUAGCUAGUUGGUGAGGUAAUGGCUCACCAAGGCGACGAUCCAUAGCUGGUCUGAGAGGACGAUCAGCCACACUGGGACUGAGACACGGCCCAGACUCCUACGGGAGGCAGCAGUUAGGAAUAUUGGACAAUGGGCGCAAGCCUGAUCCAGCCAUGCCGCGUGAGUGAUGAAGGCCUUCGGGUUGUAAAACUCUUUAGCCGAUGAAUAUAAUGACUGUAGUCGGAAAAUAAGCCCCGGCUAACUUCGUGCCAGCCGCCGCCGUAAUAC
rnacentral:rRNA from 1 species